GAUACCCGCGUAGUCCACGCCGUAAACGAUGGGUACUAGGUGUAGGGGCGCCAGCCUCUGUGCCGCAGUUAACACAUUAAGUACCCCGCCUGGGAAGUACGAUCGCAAGAUUAAAACUCAAAGGAAUUGACGGGGGCCCGCACAAGCAGCGGAGCAUGUGGUUUAAUUCGAAGCAACGCGAAGAACCUUACCAAGGCUUGACAUCCAGAGAAUCCUGUGGAAACACGGGAGUGCCCUUCGGGGAACUCUGAGACAGGUGGUGC
rnacentral:rRNA from 1 species